UGCAGUAAAAGCUACUGAAGAGAUAUCCGGAAGCACUUCGAGGCAAUGGUCGCCUUGGAGCGAAUGCAGCGCGUCUUGCGAUAAGGGAAUACAAAUGCGAUGGAGGCGUUGCAACACAGGAGAGAACUGCUCGGGUACAAUCCGCUGUUUUCUUUUCGCCUGUUCGCUUUUAUUAAUUUUCCGAACCUGGUUUCCGUGACCAAAAGCACAAAAUAAAUCUAUUUAUAUAUUUAUAGUUUCGAUUUGCGUUUUAUAGGUAACGCGCCGGGAGGUCUAUUUGGGAGACAACAUCGUUCAGCGGGUAAUUUUGUUUUAAAGUUAAUGUACAAAGACAAUGGCACAUAAGAAAGUAAAUGGAAUACACCCAAAUAGGCGAGCAAAGAUAUAUUUGCGCAAUGCAGUUACCCAAGAAAUUAAGUUAUUGUUGUAAGAAAUAAAUUAAUUAUUUGGACAACGGUAGAUAAAGGAAGGUAAUUGAUCAUGUUGUAUCUGGCGUUAAUUUCCGUUUAAUUUAUUAAAACUGCCACAAAAUUAGCACCGGAAGUCAUGUGUGAUCGAAGCACGCCUGUUGGAGUUGCUGGACAAAGUGAAAACAGGCGCCUGUACCAUAUGUACUACAGAGCAGUGUGAGACAUUUUUAGACUUAUAUUUUUAAAAUAAUCUUCUGAUUGGUACAUAUUAAACUUGGCGUUAAUGUGAACCACAGUACCGAAAAGGUAAGUAUAAGGCUGGCUGCUGCGUGUAUAACCUAUGUUAUACAGUAUUAGGUCGCAUAGACUGAGCAUCAAGUUAGUUUUGGUUUGUUGUGCUGGUAGUUAGAUGGAAGAAUUCGACGUUAUUGUUGUCGGGGCUGGCAUCAUUGGUAGUUGGACUGCGUACAAUCUUGCAAAGCGUGGCAGAUCAACUUUGCUUCUCGAACAGUUCCCGUUACUACACACCCGUGGUAGUUCACACGGUCAUUCAAGAAUAUUAAGAAAAUCCUACGUCGACGAACAUUACGCUGCUAUGAUGCCAGAGGCGUAUAAAUUGUGGAAGCAUAUGGAGACAUCUAGCGGAAUUUCAUUUAUGAAAACUACGGGUCAUCUAUCAAUAUCUAAAGUAAAAUAUGGUCACGUUGCUAAAGUAAGAAGAUGGUGUGAGAAACUUAAAAUUCCGCAUUCAACACUGGACAGUGAAUCACUUAACACAAGAUUUGGACUCAAGUUUAACGAUGAGUAUGACGCGGUAAUUGAACCAUCGGGGGCCGUUCUUAAUGCUGACAGAUGUCUUAUGUCGAUUCAGAGUGAAAUAAAGAAGUCCGGUGGUGUAGUACGCGACCAGGAGUAAGUUUUGAGCAUCGAACCUGUGAAUCAAGAUAUAGUGCGAGUUCGAACAAACAAGAAUGUUUACAAAUGCAGAUCGGUGGUUCUUACAUGCGGACCAUGGGCGAAUGAACUUCUUAAACCACUCGGUCUCCAGUUGCCGAUUAUGCCCGGGAAAGUAACGGUGACUUACUGGAAAGAACGAAGCGUUGGCGCCUUUUCUUCGAUUGCUGGGUUUCCUAACUUGAUUGGUUAUGCGGAAGACGGUGGAUAUAUGUAUGGCAUUCCUUCAGAUGAAUACCCCGGGUAUUUUAAGUUUUGUUAUCAUCACUACUUUCCAAUUGAUCCAAAUGAACGAGACCAGCCGCAACCUCAUCAAGAAAAUGAGAUUCAACGAAAGAAAACGGAAGAAUUGACAAAGUUUAUUCAAAAUCACUUUCCCCUACUCGAGUCUAAAACUUCGCUUGUUGAAACUUGCAUCAUAACAAAUUCUCCAGAUAAAGAUUAUAUUCUGGAUCGUCAUCCGAUGCAUAACAACAUCAUAUUUGCUGCGGGAAUGUAGGGCCAUGCUUUCAAGACUUCUCCAGCGGUUGGAAAAAUAUUGGCGGAAAUGUCGUGUGAGGAAAAAGUUAGCUACCCAAUCCACCAUUACUCCGUUCGUCGAUUUAAUAAAUCGAAAUUGUAGUUUAGUACUGAUGAUGUGAAUAAAUGAUUGAGUAAAUGUAA